rnacentral:rRNA from 1 species
UACGUAGGGUGCAAGCGUUGUCCGGAAUUAUUGGGCGUAAAGAGCUCGUAGGCGGUUUGUCGCGUCUGCUGUGAAAACUCGGGGCUCAACUCCGAGCUUGCAGUGGGUACGGGCAGACUAGAGUGCGGUAGGGGAGACUGGAAUUCCUGGUGUAGCGGUGAAAUGCGCAGAUAUCAGGAGGAACACCGGUGGCGAAGGCGGGUCUCUGGGCCGAUGACUGACGUGAGGAGCGAAAGCGUGGGGGAGCAAACAGGA